rnacentral:rRNA from 1 species
CGACGCCGCGUGGGUGAUGAAGGCCUUCGGGUUGUAAAGCCCUGUGGGAGGGACGAAUAACGCCGACCUAAUACGUCGGUGGAUGACGGUACCUCCUUAGCAAGCACCGGCUAACUCUGUGCCAGCAGCCGCGGUAAGACAGAGGGUGCAAACGUUGUUCGGAAUUACUGGGCGUAAAGCGCGAGUAGGCGGUCAUGCAAGUCGGGUGUGAAAGCCCGGGGCUCAACCCCGGAAGUGCAUUCGAUACUGCGUGGCUAGAGUACUGGAGAGGAUGGUGGAACUCUCGGUGUAGAGGUGAAAUUCGUAGAUAUCGAGAAGAACACCGGUGGCGAAGGCGGCCAUCUGGACAGAUACUGACGCUGAGACGCGAAAGCGUGGGGAGCAAACAGGAUUAGAUACCCUGGUAGUCCACGCCGUAAACGAUGGGUGCUAGGUGUCACGGGUAUUGACCCCUGUGGUGCCGAAGCUAACGCAUUAAGCACCCCGCCUGGGAAGUACGGCCGCAAGGCUA